rnacentral:rRNA from 1 species
AAGUCGAGCGAACAGAGAAGGAGCUUGCUCCUUCGACGUUAGCGGCGGACGGGUGAGUAACACGUGGGCAACCUACCUUAUAGUUUGGGAUAACUCCGGGAAACCGGGGCUAAUACCGAAUAAUCUGUUUCACCUCAUGGUGAAACACUGAAAGACGGUUUCGGCUGUCGCUAUAGGAUGGGCCCGCGGCGCAUUAGCUAGUUGGUGAGGUAACGGCUCACCAAGGCGACGAUGCGUAGCCGACCUGAGAGGGUGAUCGGCCACACUGGGACUGAGACACGGCCCAGACUCCUACGGGAGGCAGCAGUAGGGAAUCUUCCACAAUGGGCGAAAGCCUGAUGGAGCAACGCCGCGUGAGUGAAGAAGGAUUUCGGUUCGUAAAACUCUGUUGUAAGGGAAGAACAAGUACAGUAGUAACUGGCUGUACCUUGACGGUACCUUAUUAGAAAGCCACGGCUAACUACGUGCCAGCAGCCGCGGUAAUACGUAGGUGGCAAGCGUUGUCCGGAAUUAUUGGGCGUAAAGCGCGCGCAGGUGGUUUCUUAAGUCUGAUGUGAAAGCCCACGGCUCAACCGUGGAGGGUCAUUGGAAACUGGGAGACUUGAGUGCAGAAGAGGAUAGUGGAAUUCCAAGUGUAGCGGUGAAAUGCGUAGAGAUUUGGAGGAACACCAGUGGCGAAGGCGACUAUCUGGUCUGUAACUGACACUGAGGCGCGAAAGCGUGGGGAGCAAACAGGAUUAGAUACCCUGGUAGUCCACGCCGUACACGAUGAGUGCUAAGUGUUUAGGGGGGUUUCCGCCCCUUAGUGCUGCAGCUAACGCAUUAAGCACUCCGCCUGGCGGAGUACGGUCGCAAGACUGACACUCAAAGGAAUUGACGGGGGCUCGCACAAGCGGUGGAACCAUGUGGUUUUGAUUCGAAGCAGCGCGAAGAACCUUACCAGGUCUUGACAUCCCGUUGACCACUGUAGAAGAUAUAGUUUCCCCCUUCGGGGGCAACGGUGACUAGUGGUGGCACGGGUGUCCUCCCCCUCCUCGUCAGUUUAAUGUUGGCGUAAAUUCCCCUUAACUAACGCCAACCCUUGAUCCUAAAUGGCCUCCACUUAUUUUG